rnacentral:rRNA from 1 species
UGGGGAAUUUUGGACAAUGGGGGAAACCCUGAUCCAGCCAUCCCGCGUGUGCGAUGAAGGCCUUCGGGUUGUAAAGCACUUUUGGCAGGAAAGAAACGUCAUGGGUUAAUACCCCGUGAAACUGACGGUACCUGCAGAAUAAGCACCGGCUACUACGUGCCAGCAGCCGCGGUAAUACGUAGGGUGCAAGCGUUAAUCGGAAUUACUGGGCGUAAAGCGUGCGCAGGCGGUUCGGAAAGAAAGAUGUGAAAUCCCAGAGCUCAACUUUGGAACUGCAUUUUUAACUACCGGGCUAGAGUGUGUCAGAGGGAGGUGGAAUUCCGCGUGUAGCAGUGAAAUGCGUAGAUAUGCGGAGGAACACCGAUGGCGAAGGCAGCCUCCUGGGAUAACACUGACGCUCAUGCACGAAAGCGUGGGGAGCAAACAGG